rnacentral:lncRNA from 1 species
UGCAGACAGAAAAGACAUUACCCUUCAAAUAUCCCAAGUCAUCUAUUAGAGUCAACAAGCAGCCGGCAAAAAGCAGGACAGCUGGCUGUCCAGCCCUGGUUGGAGAAAAUGUGUUCCACUGAGAACUAGCCAGUUGAAUUUUUCUUUACUGACUGAGAGUGAAUGAGCAGAGGCAUUUUAAAGGUGUGUUGCAUGUGAAGAGCUCUAGGCCGUGUCCUGAGCUUGGUGUUCUGGAUACUCCUCCUCAUACCGUUUCAUCCCCAACAGGCUGAACCAAGCACAUCUGAACGGGUCUGGCUGCUCCUGGGCAGCUGGGGAAGGGCACCCACAGUGUUCUGAGCAGAGCUGGAAGCACACCAGAACUGAGAUGAGUCAGAAGCUCUCAAAGUGUGUGAGACAACUUUGAAAAUCUAGUGGUGUCGAUGGAAAACAAUCACCUGCUGGCCAG